CCUACGGGCGGCAGCAGUGAGGAAUAUUGGUCAAUGGACGCGAGUCUGAACCAGCCAAGUCGCGUGAAGGAAGACGGCCCUAUGGGUUGUAAACUUCUUUUGUACGGGAGUAAAACCCGCCACGCGUGUCGUUCCGAGAGUACCCUAAGAAUAAGGAUCGGCUAACUCCGUGCCAGCAGCCGCGGUAAUACGGAGGAUGCGAGCGUUAUCCGGAUUUAUUGGGUUUAAAGGGUGCGCAGGCGGAAGAUCAAGUCAACGGUAAAAUUCCGGGGCUCAACCUCGUCGUGCCGUUGAAACUGGUGUUCUUGAGUGAAGGAGAGGUAGGCGGAAUGCGUGGUGUAGCGGUGAAAUGCAUAGAUAUCACGCAGAACUCCGAUUGCGAAGGCAGCUUACCG
rnacentral:rRNA from 1 species